rnacentral:misc_RNA from 1 species
UGGAUCUGGCUCAGUAUAACCUGCUUGUUUUGCUUCAGACACUAUGUCACUAAACGAUUUACUACCUGUAAAGUUGUUGAAGAUGUAACUCAACGUCCCACUGAAGAUGCCUUCAAUACGCAAUAUUUUGUCUCCGGUUUCAAGCAAAACACGUAGGGUGCUAAUAAUUGGAAGACCGGCACCAACAGUAGCUUCAUAAAAGUAAUGAGUAUAGGACUGUCGUUGAAGAGCUCUCAAUUUCAAAUACUGAUCGAGUGGUCCAGAGUUAGCCCUUUUAUUUGGAGUAAUGACAUGAAUUCCUCUUCGAAGCCAGUUGUAGUAGUAGCUAGCAAUAUCAGGAUUGGCCGUGCAAUCCACCAAAACAGUAUUGGGAAUAAAAUGAUUUUGAUGCACAUGCUGCACAAACCUUUCCAUAUCUGCCACUUCACCUCUCUCACUUUGAAGUUCUCUCCAAUUAGAUAAGUCAAGUCCCUCAUCGCACAAAAGCAUGCUUCUGGAGCUAAUAAUUCCCAUGACACGCAAGUCAAUGUUAAAAUCUUCUUUGAGAACUGAUGCCUGAUCCUUUAGCUGCUCAAGUAAUGUGGCACCAAUAAGUCCAGGUCCAAUGAUUCCCAUUGCUAUUGUUGUUCUUGACAGAUAAAAUCUUGAGUGCACGGCUCUCAGGGCUUUUAUACAAUCUUCUCGCCUAACAACUACAGUAAUGUUGUAUUCAGUGCAGCCUUGGGCAAUAGCACGGAUAUUUAUGUUAGCCUUUGCCAGUGCAUUGAAAAGGGUGGCACUAACUCCAGGAGUGCUAGCCAUUCUCUGUCCAACCGCUGCCAAAAUGCUACAGUUUGGAAUAACUGCGACCUGAGAAAGGCGCCCGGCCUCUAAGGCUUGACGGAAUCUAGAUUUCAAUGCCUCAGCAACAGCUUUUACUUCCUUCUCA